rnacentral:siRNA from 1 species
CUGUAGGCACCAUCAAUCAAGGGCG